rnacentral:lncRNA from 1 species
AUAUAUGUACGUCUUCAUUCUUUAUCGUAAUUAAUUUCCAACUCUUAAUUUCUCGUUUUCCGCUGUUUCGGCGUUGAUGCCAUUGGGGUAUUCGGAGUGCCAUUAGUAUUAAUCGAAAUAAUUAUACGCUUUAUGUGAGUCAAGGAAACAACAUCAGAGCCCAUUUUAGCCGUAUUUUAAAAUUAUAACACCACAAAAUAUUUAGAUAUGCACUAUUUUUUUUGUCAGUUUCACAUUGAGGUCCGACUAAAUUCGAAUUCGCUCUGAAAAAUUCCAUAAUAGAGGAUAAAGCGCUCCCUAACAAAGGCAAGGAUAUGCAUUAUUGUGUAACCAUGCAUGUUGUAAGUUCUUGUAAGUGGCGGGAAUCGCGAACCCUAUUAUAAGGGAAAAUUCCUAGACGACAACGAGAAGAGUCAUGUCUGAGUAAAAGCGGGAGAACUACUGGGGAGGGGUGGGGUGAUAUUAUCCAUCUAGAAUCUUUAAUUUCUGUAGUUGUAAAUAGUACUACUCACUCCUUUUAUAUAUAUAUAUAUAUAUAUAUAAAAAGGAAAAAUUACUAUGAAAUUAAUCAUAGGAAGUAGUAUUAUGUAAUUGUUGGAAACUGAUAGUAGUAGAAAGUGUAAGGAGAGUCACGAAAGUAGAAAUACGAAUAAAGGUGGUACACAGCUCAAAAGUUUGUAGGCACUUUAGGAAAAGACAAAGACUUUGUAUUCUAUCGGUCACUACAACUUUUCUCCAAGGAAUUAAAGGGGUCAUGAUUUUCUCGUUUUGUCGGCAGAUUUUUUUCAUACACAGGUUAUCUCCCAAACACUUAUCAAGAGUUAAGAUAGUUAUUAUGCCCACGUACACUAAUAUUAGAUUGGUUAUGUUGAUUGUUGAACUGCUUGCCCGACUUUAUUGGAUUGUUGUUGAAAUAAAUUUUGCAAGUGUUACGAUUUAGUCGGGAUGAAUCGGUAAAAACGGUACGGGCUAGUCAAUUUUCGAAUCGAUCAUUCAAAAAUAGCCAGCGUUUGUAAAGUUAUUGAAAAAUAAUUAUUAUUUUGCUGCAACACGGAAGUUCCAGCAUACUAUAAUAGAAAUCGGUGCACUUGUGUAUGAACUUCCAGCAUAUUAUGUUGUAACUCCAACACGCGAAAAGUUCCAGCAUAAUAUACUAGAGAUUGGAGCACCUGUG